rnacentral:rRNA from 1 species
ACUCCUACGGGAGGCAGCAGUGGGGAAUAUUGCACAAUGGGGCGCAAGCCUGAUGCAGCCAUGCCGCGUGUGUGAAGAAGGCCUUCGGGUUGUAAAGCACUUUCAGUCGUGAGGAAGGUAGUGUAGUUAAUAGCGCAAUUUAAUUGGUCGUUAGCGACAGAAGAAGCACCGGCUAACUCCGUGCCAGCAGCCGCGGUAAUACGGAGGGUGCGAGCGUUAAUCGGAAUUACUGGGCGUAAAGCGCAUGCAGGUGGUUUGUUAAGUCAGAUGUGAAAGCCCGGGGCUCAACCUCGGAAUUGCAUUUGAAACUGG